rnacentral:tmRNA from 1 species
GGGGGUGUUCCGGUUUCGACUGGUGCGGUUCGGGAUACCGGUUGCAGGUAGAGCGUCCAUCUCUUGAUUGGACAAAAAUUUAACUGCCAAAACACGCAGUUUCGGUUUUGCUCGCGCGCCUCGCGCGCAGCUCGGUUAUGCAAUGGCAGCGUGAGCUGUUAAUGCCUAGCCGAUUAGGCUGUUUUGCAGCCUGACCGCGUGGAACCUUUCCGCCGCUCUGAGGGGGGUGUUCCGCGUCGCAAUCAGGGCUUUGCCACUGCUGUUGUCCCUUGCAGCAUUUGGCAAGAUAAAAAGGGAAUAAGGUAAAGUUAGCCGGUUGCGGGCUUAAUCUUUGCACGAAAAUACAGUUUGCAACUAAACCUGUAGACGCUUGUGUUUCGCGUAUUAGGACGCGGGUUCAACUCCCGCCACCUCCAUCC